UGCGGAACACGUACAGUAACCUUCCUUUGGAGGCGGGGAAUACGCCCAGAAGUAAAUUUGGAAUUAACUACCCAUAGUAUAAUGAAGUGGCAUCACUUUAUUAUUAAAGAUUUAUCACUCGAAGAUGGCUGCGCGGCUGAUUAGGUAGUUGGCGGGGUAAAGGCCCACCAAGCCUGCGAUCAGUAACUGGUGUGAGAGCACGACCAGUCACACGGGCACUGAGACACGGGCCCGACUCCUACGGGAGGCAGCAGUAAGGAAUAUUGGUCGAUGGAGGCAACUCUGAACCAGCCAUGCCGCGUGGAGGAUGAAGGUCCUCUGGAUUGUAAACUUCUUUUAUAUGGGACGAAAAAGGCUUUUCUAAGUCGUCUGACGGUACCAUAUGAAUAAGCACCGGCUAACUCCGUG
rnacentral:rRNA from 1 species